rnacentral:lncRNA from 1 species
UUUGACUAUUUUACAUAUAAUUUAAAAAUUGUACCAUUUUCAUGAUUUUAUGAAAACUUAUUCUCACAAAGAUGUCUACGAAUAUAAUUUCAAGCAAAAAAAUUACUACUCUUGUUUUUUUUUACAAUACAUAACUGAAAAAGCUCAAAACGCUUUAACAAUUUUACCAUUUUAAGAUAUCAUUCAAGUAUUUAAAUUCUUGUUUUCCUGUUUUUUUUUUUGUGAGUCAAAAUCCUAAAAUACCAUAAAGUUAGUUUUUUUUUUUCCGAAAACCAGCAUAAGUGCAUUACAA